GCUGCUUGUUGGGUGCCUAUAAUAGGCUUAGGUUUAUGGUCCCUCGCGGGAUUCACUGUACAUCCACAGAUGUGAAUGAUGCGAAGUGAUGACAUUUUAAAUGAUCAGCAAGAUUCCUUCCAGGGGCCCUAAAAUUGUUGAGACUGAAAUGACUGAAAAUGGAAAAGUUACGGUGGGGAAAAAGAUAUGAACAGCAAUGGCGAACAAACCACGAGACCCCUAUAACCUAUUCGUACCGUCAAAUAUUAUAUAUAAAAUUUGCUCAGUGUUUACCGCCCUUAAAAGUGUGAUAUAAUUAUAAUUGUACAUAACAAAUAACAAUGAAUAAAUGAA